rnacentral:rRNA from 1 species
GACGAACCGUGCGAACGUUGUUCGGAAUCACUGGGCUUAAAGGGCGCGUAGGCGGGGUGGACAGUCUAUGGUGAAAUCCUCCGGCUCAACCGGAGAACUGCCGUGGAUACUGCCACUCUCGAGGGGUGUAGGGGCAUGCGGAACUUCGGGUGGAGCGGUGAAAUGCGUAGAUAUCCGAAGGAACACCAGUAGCGAAGGCGGCACUCUGGGCCGGUACUGGACGCUGAGGAGCGAAAGCGUGGGGAGCAAAG